rnacentral:rRNA from 1 species
AGGCCCGACAUGUUACGCCGUCUGGUGGAUGGCUCGGCUUGAGCGCUGAAGAAGGGCGCAGCCAGCCGCGAAAGAGCCCCAGGUAAGCGUAUGCAGCUUUAGAACUGGGGAUUCCUGAAUGGGACCUCCUACCGCGGUUCUUCGGAACCGUGGUGCCCCCAGAUGGGGGCGGGAACCCCCCGAACGGAAGCAUCUUAGUAGGGGGAGGAAAAGAAACCAAAUGGGAUUCCCUUAGUAACAGCGAGCGAAAAGGGAAAAGUCCAAACCGAACCCCAUGGGGAAGACUCACGGGGGAUGUAGAGUUAUGGGUCCGGCUUCCUUCUCCCUGGUGAAGCUGAAGUGGCUUGGAAAGGCCCGCCAUAGAGGGUGAAAGCCCCGUAAGCGUAAACUGGAAGGAGUUGAGCUGGUGUCCCAGAGUACCGUACCCUGGUUUGGGUGCGGGAAGUUGGAAGGCACCGACUUCCAAGACUAAAUACGUCUCAAGACCGAUAGCGCACUAGUACGGUGACAGAAAGUUGAAAAGCACCCCGGAAGGGGGGUGAAAAGUGCCUGAAACCAGACGGUUACAGACGUGUGCAGCCCGGAAGGGUAGAUCCCUCCCAAAGGAAACCGCCGUGAGGCGGCAGUACGAGGGAGGGGGACCAGGGUUGCACGUUCCGUCUAGAAACACGGGCCGGGGAGUUCACGGCUGUGGCAAGCCUAAGGGUCUGGAAGCCCGUAGGCGUAGGGAAACCAACAUGCGCACAGCCAGCUCUUGAGCUGGUGAGGCGCGGAGUCUGAAAGGGCUUGGAGUCACGGCUGUGAGACUAGAAACCGGGCGAUCUAGCCCUGGGCAGGGCGAAGCCAGGCGAAAGCCUAGUGGAGGCCCGAAAGGGUGCUGACGUGCAAUUCGUUCCCCAGACCUGGGGUUAGGGGCUAAAGACCAAUCUAGCCCGGUGAUAGCUAGUUCCCUCCGAAGUGGGUCGCAGCCCAGUCCCGGGCGAGG